rnacentral:rRNA from 1 species
GGGCUUGACAUCCCACGAACCUGCCCGAAAGGGUAGGGUGCCCGCAAGGGAGCGUGGAGACAGGUGGUGCAUGGCUGUCGUCAGCUCGUGUCGUGAGAUGUUGGGUUAAGUCCCGCAACGAGCGCAACCCUCACCCCUAGUUGCCACCGGGUAAUGCCGAGCACUCGAGGGGAACUGCCAGCGCCAAGCUGGAGGAAGGCGGGGAUGACGUCAAGUCAUCAUGCCCCUUACGCCCUGGGCUACACACGUGCUACAAUGGCCAGUACAAAGGGAUGCGAGACCGUAAGGUGGAGCUAAUCCCAAAAAGCUGGUCUAAGUUCAGAUUGCAGUCUGCAACUCGACUGCAUGAAGGAGGAAUCGCUAGUAAUCGCGCAUCAGCACGGCGCGGUGAAUACGUUCCCGGGCCUUGUACACACCGCCCGUCACACCACGAAAGCUGGCUGUACUCGAAGUCGCUGAG